rnacentral:lncRNA from 1 species
UGAGGCAAGUUGUCCUUUUGUCCACUUUCAAUUCCGUUUACCUUAUUAUCUCUACAUUUCAAUUAAAAAAAU